UGCCAGCCGCCGCGGUAAUACGGAGGGUGCAAGCGUUAAUCGGAAUUACUGGGCGUAAAGGGCGCGUAGGUGGUUCGAAAAGUCGGGUGUGAAAGCCCGGGGCUCAACCCCGGAAGUGCAUUGGAAACUGGCGAACUUGAGUACGGGAGAGGAAAGUGGAAUUCCGAGUGUAGGGGUGAAAUCCGUAGAUAUUCGGAGGAACACCAGUGGCGAAGGCGGCUUUCUGGACCGAUACUGACGCUGAGACGCGAAAGCGUGGGGAGCAAACAGGAUUAGAUA
rnacentral:rRNA from 1 species